CAGAAAAUAGUUUAUUUAAAAUAUUAAUUUUGGAAAUUAAAGAAAAAGUGUUUACUUUUUUUCUGA
rnacentral:tRNA from 1 species